UACCACUGCUACAGAUGAUGGACUCGGAC
rnacentral:piRNA from 1 species